AAUCAGCCUGCUGAACUUUUACCUCAGUUUUCUAGCAUUGAAUAUGUAGUUCUGCGUGGUCCUCAGAUGCCUUUGAUAUUCCUCUAUGUGGUUGAUACUUGCAUGGAAGAUGAAGAUUUACAAGCCCUGAAAGAAUCCAUGCAGAUGUCAUUAAGUCUUUUACCACCUACAGCUUUGGUUGGACUUAUUACUUUUGGGAGAAUGGUUCAGGUUCAUGAACUUGGAUGUGAAGGCAUUUCAAAAAGCUAUGUCUUCAGAGGAACAAAAGAUUUGUCUGCCAAACAACUGCAGGUAAACAACAAGAAUGGUAGUUUUCACCUACCUGAAAGUUACUCUAUAUAUGUUUAUAAAUGCCUUCUGUAUGUUUCUAGGACAAAUUUUUAUUAUGAAUAACUAAU
rnacentral:sRNA from 1 species